AUACGAGUACCUCAAGUGUUAUCCGGAAUUAUUGGGCGUAAAGGGUCCGCAGGCGGUCAUAUUAGUCUUGUGUUAAAUCUUCUGGCUUAACCAGAAACCUGCACAAGAAACGGUAUGACUAGAGUAUGUGAGGGGUGUGUGGAACUCAUGGUGUAGGGGUGAAAUCCGUUGAUAUCAUGGGGAACGCCAAAAGCGAAGGCAGCACACUGGCACAUUACUGACGCUCAGGGACGAAAGCGUGGGUAGCGAAUGGGAUUAGAAACCCCAGUAGUCC
rnacentral:rRNA from 1 species